rnacentral:rRNA from 1 species
UACGGAGGGUGCAAGCGUUAUCCGGAUUCACUGGGCUUAAAGGGUGCGUAGGCGGGCAAGUAAGUCAGUGGUGAAAUCUCCGGGCUUAACCCGGAAACUGCCAUUGAUACUAUUUGUCUUGAAUACUGUGGAGGUCAGCGGAAUAUGUCAUGUAGCGGUGAAAUGCUUAGAUAUGACAUAGAACACCAAUGGCGAAGGCAGCUGGCUACACAAAUAUUGACACUGAGGCACGAAAGCGUGGGGAGCAAACAGG